ensembl:lncRNA
CAUGUGGCAGAGAGUGAUAAGGGCGCUGGAGGUGGGGGUGUGAGCAGGAGAAAAGCACAGUAUGGCAUCUCAGCUGAUCAUCAUGAACUUCAUGUAGUUACAGUACAUCAACCAAUACAAUUUUCUGCUUAUUCCUUCCGGAUUCCAGAUUUCCUGCUUAUUCCUUCCUGAUUCCAGGAAUCCUCCAACUGGGACUUCGGGGAAAAUUGGAAUUUUGCAACCCUAGGUGUGACCACCAUUUGACUCAUGCAGUUCAAAACAUCUCCUUCGCAUAGAGUUGAUCAGGCAGUUGAUUGUGGCCUGUGGAAUGUUGUCCCACUCCUCUUCAAUGGCUGUGCGAAGAAGCUGGAUAUUGGUGGGAACUGGAACACGCGGUCGAACACGUUGAUCCAGAGCUUCCCUAACAUGCUCAGUGGGUGAUAUAUCUUGUGAGUAUGCAGGGCCAUGGAAGAACUGGGACAUUUUCAGCUCCCAGGAAUUUCGUACAUGGGACAUGGGGCUGUGCAUUGUCAUGUUGAAACAUGAGGUGAUGGAUGGCACGGAUGAAU